GACGUAGGGUGCGAGCGUUUGUCCGGAUUUAUUGGGCGUAAAGAGCUCGUAGGCGGCUUGUCGCGUCGAAUGUGAAAUCCCGAGGCUCAACCUCGGGCUUGCAGUGGGUACGGGGCAGACUAGAGUGCGGUAGGGGGAGACUGGAAUUCCUGGUGUAGCGGUGGAAUGCGCAGAUAUCAGGAGGAACACCGAUGGCGAAGGCAGGUCUCUGGGCCGCAACUGACGCUGAGGAGCGAAAGCAUGGGGAGCGAACAGG
rnacentral:rRNA from 1 species